UUGCAGCUGAGGAAACACAGGCCCAGAUGGAAAGUGGCUUGCCCAAUCCCACACAGCAAGGCAGAGAUGGAUCCAUCCAGCUCUCUCCUCCCAGCCAGGGCUUAGCGACAACACAGCUACAGGGGCAUGAGAGGCUCAGAGGCCUGGUCCUCUGGCUGGUGGAGCCUUGGAGGCAGUAGUGAAGAUCCCUGGAAGAGGGAGGCCAUGAAGAGGGAUGCAGAUACCUGGCAAGCCCACCUCCCUUCUAUGCCACCUGCCAGCCUUCUCUGACAUUCCCAAACCAGGGACCAACACCGCCAAUCAGGGAAGAUUUACACGCAUUUAAUUAUGUAAGUCUCAUUAGUUGACGC
rnacentral:lncRNA from 1 species